GGCGCUAUAGCCAAGUGGUUACGGCGACAGAUUAGAAUUUCUUCGUGGUUUCCUCUUUGAGGGCGCAGGUUCAAAUCCUGCUGGCGUCG